rnacentral:lncRNA from 1 species
AUAGUGGCGAUGACAAGGUCUCUCUAGAAAAUGUGUUCUCUAGCUCUCACUCUGGCAUCACUGCUGUACCUGCGCCUCUGUCCCAUAGUGGCGAUGCAGAGGGAUCUCUUGAAAAUGCCUUUUCCAGCUCGCACUCUAGCAUCACUGUUGCACCUGCGCCUCUGUCCCCUAGUGGCGAUGCAAAGGUCUCUCUUGAAAAUGUCUUUUCCAGCUCUCACUCUGCCGUCACUGCUGUACCUGCGCCUCUGUCCCAUAGUGGCGCUGCACAGGUCACUCUUGAAAAUGCCAUUUCCAGCUCAGACUCUGGCAUCACUGUUAUACCUGCACCUCUGUCCCAUAGUGGUGUUGCACAGGUCCCUCAUGAAAAUGGUGUUUCCAUCUCGCACUCUAGCAUCACUGUUGUACCUGCGCCUCUGUCCCAUAGCGGCAAUGCACAGGGAUCUCUUGAAAAUGUCUCCAGCUCACUCUCUGGCGUCACUGUUGAUUUUCAACGGAAACUGACUUG